GACGAACGCUGGCGGCGUGCUUAACACAUGCAAGUCGAGCGAUGAAGCUCCUUCGGGAGUGGAUUAGCGGCGGACGGGUGAGUAACACGUGGGCAACCUGCCUUGUAGAGAGGAAUAGCCAUUCGAAAGGAUGAUUAAUACCUCAUAAUAUUGUAGUUUCGCAUGAAGCAAUAAUCAAAGGAGCAAUCCACUACAAGAUGGGCCCGCGGCGCAUUAGCUAGUUGGUGAGGUAACGGCUCACCAAGGCGACGAUGCGUAGCCGACCUGAGAGGGUGAUCGGCCACAUUGGGACUGAGACACGGCCCAGACUCCUACGGGAGGCAGCAGUGGGGAAUAUUGCACAAUGGGGGAAACCCUGAUGCAGCAACGCCGCGUGAGUGAUGACGGUCUUCGGAUUGUAAAGCUCUGUCUUCAGGGACGAUAAUGACGGUACCUGAGGAGGAAGCCACGGCUAACUACGUGCCAGCAGCCGAC
rnacentral:rRNA from 1 species